CUUAGCCUAGCAGGAUUUGUGUUAAGAGUCAAAAGGAUAUCCAAGUGCUUCACGUCCUGGAAGUGGAGAAAGCUCCAGCAGAGACAUGCACAAGAAGAUGAUCCAACGGACAAAUUUUAAUCUGUUUCAGCGUUCAUUGUUGUUUUCCUUUACCCCAGGAUUCGUGUAAUUUAGUUUACACUGUCACAUGUUUGAAUUUGUCUAGCAACAACUUUCAGCCAUUGCAUCAUGCUAUAUGGCUAAUCUCUGCUUGACUGAAGAGCCAUUAUGAAAUAUUUGUUUCCCUG